UGGCUGUACGCCGAGGAGUUUGCUGGCCGGUUGUUGUGAUCUCUGUUGACUAAUCUGCUUACCGAAUUUCUCACAAUU